GGACUACCGGGGUUUCUAAUCCCGUUCGCUCCCCUAGCUUUCGCGCACUCAGCGUCAGAAGAGGUCCAGCACGUCGCUUUCGCCACCGGCGUUCCUUCCGAUAUCAACGCAUUUCACCGCUCCACCGGAAGUUCCACAUGCCCCUACCUCCCUCGAGACAACCAGUAUCAGAGGCUAUUUUCCGGUUGAGCCGAAAGAUUUCACCCCUGACUUGAUCAUCCGCCUACGCGCCCUUUAAGCCCAGUGAUUCCGAACAACGUUUGCACGGUUCGUCUUACCGCGGCUGCUGGCAC
rnacentral:rRNA from 1 species